rnacentral:rRNA from 1 species
AGGACGAACGCUGGCGGCGUGCUUAACACAUGCAAGUCGAGCGGAAAGGCCCUUCGGGGUACUCGAGCGGCGAACGGGUGAGUAACACGUGAGCAACCUGCCCUUAGCUCUGGGAUAGCUCCGGGAAACCGGAAUUAAUACCGGAUAUGACCCUGACCGACAUCUGUCAGGGUGGAAAGGAUUCCGGCUAGGGAUGGACUCGCGGCCUAUCAGCUUGUUGGCGGGGUAACGGCCCACCAAGGCUACGACGGAUAGCUGGUCUGAGAGGACGAUCAGCCACACUGGAACUGAGACACGGUCCAGACUCCUACGGGAGGCAGCAGUGGGGAAUCUUGCGCAAUGGACGAAAGUCUGACGCAGCAACGCCGCGUGAGGGACGAAGGCUUUCUGAGUUGUAAACCUCUUUCGACAGGAACGAUUGUGACGGUACCUGUAGAAGAAGCACCGGCCAACUAUGUGCCAGCAGCCGCGGUGAUACAUAGGGUGCGAGCGUUAUUCGGAUUUAUUGGGCGUAAAGAGCUCGUAGGCGGUUCGACAAGUCGGGUGUUAAACCCCCAGGCUCAACCUGGGGCCGCCACCCGAAACUGUCGUGACUAGAGUUUGGUAGGGGAUCACGGAAUUCCUGGUGUAGCGGUGGAAUGCGCAGAUAUCAGGAGGAACACCAGUAGCGAAGGCGGUGAUCUGGGCCAAUACUGACGCUGAGGAGCGAAAGCGUGGGGAGCGAACAGGAUUAGAUACCCUGGUAGUCCACGCCGUAAACGGUGGGCACUAGGUGUGGGGACUUUUCAACGGUUUCCGCGCCGCAGCUAACGCAUUAAGUGCCCCGCCUGGGGAGUACGGUCGCAAGACUAA